UACAGAGGUCUCAAGCGUUGUUCGGAUUCAUUGGGCGUAAAGGGUGCGUAGGUGGCGCCGUAAGUCGGGUGUGAAAUUUCGGAGCUUAACUCCGAAACUGCAUUCGAUACUGCGGUGCUUGAGGACUGGAGAGGAGACUGGAAUUCAUGGUGUAGCAGUGAAAUGCGCAGAUAUCAGGAGGAACACCGGUGGCGAAGGCGGUGGUCUGGGCCGGCACUGACGCUGAGAAGCGAAAGCGUGGGGAGCGAACAGG
rnacentral:rRNA from 1 species